rnacentral:lncRNA from 1 species
UUAAAUAUUUUCUUGUUUCCAGCCAAUUUGUUCUUUUCAACCCGACUUGAAAACCUCAACUCAUACUCCUUAAUUUUAACGAUCGGGCACAUCAACGACUCGACUCUCAUCACUGAGGCCGGGGCGUAUCAUUUGGUAUCAGAGCUAGCUAAAAUUGAGGAGUACGGACGUUCGUGAAGUUGCCGAAGUAAGUGAUCGAAAAAAAUCGAGCAAAAAAAAAGAAAGAAAAAAAUUGAAAAAAAGAGGAUUUCGUGAAUUUUGAAGAUAUUUUGGUAUUAUUCAAUUGUACUUGAAGUGAAAAAAAUCGAAGUAUAAAAAAAAAUAAGAAGUGAAAAGUCUUGCGAGUUUUAUUUUGUUAUCAAUUCUUGUUACUUCCGAACAUCCAUUCAUUCUACCAUUCCUUCUACCCCCCCAAAAACGCCACAUACUUU